GGAUAAUGCUUUAAUCUCGUCUAGCUCCGGCGCUAAGGCUGGCCAUUCCAUAUCGGUUAGUAUGAUGUUCACUAGUUGUUCGCAAUCCGACAGAAUUUGAAUCUCUCUUCUCCCGCUUUUAAGAAUCUCCUGCAUCGCCCAGAUUAUGCCUUCUGCUUCCGCAUGGAGAGGUGAAACCGAGCUGAUGUUACCCUUGACCCCGAACAGGGUGGAUCUUCCAUCGUCAAGUAGCACAAACCCGAGACCUGUAGCGCCCUGAUCUUCGAUCCAAGAUGCGUCAACCUGGCAUUUCCACCUCCCUGCUUCAAUUC
rnacentral:lncRNA from 1 species